rnacentral:rRNA from 1 species
AGACCUCAGGUCAGGCGGGGCUACCCGCUGAGUUUAAGCAUAUCAAUAAGCGGAGGAAAAGAAACUAACAAGGAUUCCCCUAGUAACGGCGAGCGAACCGGGAAGAGCCCACCAUGAGAAUCGGUCGCCCUAGGCGUUCGAAUUGUAGUCUGAAAAAAGCGUCA